CUUGAGCAUGGCUGACAGCAUGACUCGGGUUUUGGCAAUAUCCUUUUCUAAACAAAGGUUCUUAAAGGUUAGUUUGAUGUUAAGAAGCUUUGGAGUCAGACAGUAAUGAAAGCCUUCUUUUCUGUAAUAUCUGCUGCCCCAGGUAGCGCCAUUCACAAGACACAACUCUUAUUCGACAUUUUCUCAGAGAUCAUUCAUAAAAGUAUCAUCCAUAAGUGGACCUUGUUCUUCUGUGAUUAGUUGCAGAUUGAAUAGUCUACUUAUGUAAUACUGCUGCUGAGAGGAAGUGCCCAUGUCGGCAAAAUCAUUCAAGGAAGGCAGAGUCCAUCAUUCAAGUAAGAAGUUGUAUUAAAAACACUGCAGAGGGCUCCUUUUGUCCGAUAAAGAUGUUGGUACUGAUGAUGGCUUGCAAUUCUAAGGACUUGGAAGGAACUGGUAAUUAAAGACAUUUCAAAGUUGGUGUCCCUUCCAAUGAGGCUUCAACAUGUUACCGCACUGAAAACUCUCACAAUUUGUCACUCUUCUGGUUUGGCAACUUCAUCAAACUGGAUAGGUAGUCUCAUAUCUCUGGCACAGCUUCAAAUUUCUGACUGCCCCAAAUUGAAAUCACUGCCGGGAGAGAUGCAUUUACUCAGCACUCUACAGCAACUCGAAAUAAACAAUUGCCCACCCUUAUUGAAAAGAUGCCAAAAGGAAACAGGUGAAGAUUGGAUAAGAUUUCUCAUGUUCCAGAAAUCAUAUUGGAGGGGCAACGGAUGACUAAUUCGUAAAACACACUUGCUUUCUCUCUGAUUCAAGCUUGUCAUCUACAACAUAUUUCAGAUUUAAUCAGCAUUAUAGCAAUAGUAAAGAGAUAAUAAUUAGGAUUGGCUGAUUAUUGCUGAAUGCUCCAGGGGGGUUUAUGUUGACAGGCAAAGGAUGAGAAAUGCAUCCGGAAAAAGUCAACUCAGUUUCAUCGUACUCCUGGACCUGUGCUGUCUUCUAUUUCUGUGAAACAUCCAUUGCAUGUCUUUGAAAUUCAGGUUGUAUGGUCCUUCCUUUCUUUCUACCUUUGAUCUCUCAAUCUUUUAUCGCUUUCCUGUCUAUUUAUUAAAAUCUGAUACUUCUACUGGAACUCUGAUUUGCUGAUUUGCACAUGCAGUUAAAUAGCAAGAGUUAAGUGAGGUGAGGUGCACGUAUUAUCCCAUGGGUGUAAAAGUUUGGUCAACCUCCUGUCUGUAAGUUUCUCAAGCUUUGGAAAGCAGAUGCUUCAGAAUAGA